rnacentral:tRNA from 1 species
GCCGGUGUAGCUCAGUUGGUAGAGCAAUGCUUUCGUAAAGCAGAGAUCGGGGGUUCGAGUCCCUUCACCGGCU